rnacentral:lncRNA from 1 species
UUUAGUAAUAGGUUACUUGAAAUCAACUUUGUUAGCAACAUGCUAGUUUGAAUUCUCCUACAGAUUUAAGUUUCAAACAUGGGUUAAAACUCAUCAAAUGCAUAAAUAAUUGAUAUCUCAAUUAUAUUGUUUAGGUACUAAAUCAUUUUUAAGGAUAAAGAUAUGCAUGAAUACAAUAAAGAAGAAGUGGCAAUGGCAUGCACUCCAUUUAAGCAAUAGUAAUAGUAUUUCCAUUUUCUGAUAUUGAAUAUAAACCUUUUAUAAUAUCAGGUAUCUUCCAUAAAGUAGUAGAAACUGUUUCCUCAGUGCCAAUAUGAUUUUUAAUUCAUAAAGAAACAUUAAAGGUACCGAUUUACUGAUAAUUAUUUGUGUCUGUCACUAAGCCAAAUGAAUGUGUUGAUAAUUUUGAGAAUCUCAAUGUUAUAUCUAUGGAUAUUGUGUCAUAUUUGAAAAUUUCAUUCCAAGUUGUAUAUAUUAGAUAUGUAGAUGGGGAUAUGAAUAUAUUUUUGAGAUCAAAAGUAGGUAUUGGACACAUGGUAGAGGCAACACUUCUAAAGGUAUUGGAAACUCACUUAAUUUGUUAGGUGGAAGCCUAAGAGAGGUUAUGGAUUAGGUUUUUGAAGAUGGAAGCCAAUUUUUAGGGGUUCUCAGAUAAAUAAAAAUUGAUGGAAUUCCAGAAAAUAAGUUGCUGGAAUUUGGUUUUGGAUGUUGGGUUGAUUACUGGAAGGUAGAAAUUGGCUUUAAGGUUAUACAAGUUUGGUUUUCAGGUUAGAAAAUGAAGAAAUGACAGCUAGUUUGAGUUGUACUGCACUUAUGACUUGCAUAAUAAUUGAGAAGGAAAAGAAUGACUAAAAGAUGUAGAAUUAAGAGGAGGAAGAAAUCAAGUUGGGAUUAAAUAAUCAAACCAAAAUAUUAAAUUAAUCAAACUCUAAUUUUUUUUGAAGUUGUGUUGCAACUGUGUAGAAUCUUGUAAAACUUUCUAAACAUGAGAAAACCUUAAUAAAACUACAAUAACCAAUAUUGGAAUCAAAUAGGGAUUUAAAUCUCUAACAGAGAAAAUUUUUGAACACCUAUUCUAUUCUAAAAUCCAUUGGAAGAUCUCCUAAUUUGAUUAACUUUAGAAACUUGAUUAGUAGGAAUUUUUACAUUUUACCCAUAAUGAGGGAAUUUGGGGAAAAGAAAGGAAUUGAAUUGACAAUAGAAAUUCCAGUACUUCAUAAAUGUUUUCAUUUCUUUGUACUUAGUUAAAAAGAUUUAAAAGUCAUUAGCCCCCUUUUUCAUAUUUUAGUGUUAUUUCUGUAUGAAACGGUGUCAAUUUCUUUAAUCUUCCUUUAAAAACCCUCUGACCUUGAGUUAUCUCAAUUACUAUUAAAGCAAGAUAACACAUGUCUAUUAGUUCAAUGCCUAUGUAGUAAAUAUAAAUCAAUUGGGUUAGAUAUAACGGAAUCUGAAGAUAAAGCCCUAUUCAUUGGCCCUCGAAAAGAGGCAUGGAAGCAAUGUCAAUGAAAACGUUCUAGGUUGUUCUUUACGAAUUAGAAGGCCAAGGGAGUGGUUAGUUUGUUGGCCAGACUAGAUGGGCUCUAAUAAAGAAGAUAGUUUAAAUGAUAAGAUAGGAUUAUGAUUUGAAGUAUAAUAAAAAAUUAUUAUGUUAGUUGCAACAUAUUCUAUGUGUGUUUGUUUGCUUAUUGAUAUAGUAUUAUGCAUUAUCAUGGUGGAAAGAAACCUAGAUUUGUUUCGAGAAAAAGAAAAUAGACUACUGCAUUGCUUCAAAAUGAUAGAACAGGAAACUUAAGUGCUUCACCAUUAAGGCUUAGCCUUUAAUGUCAAGAAUGGUAUCAUUUUUGAGUAACAUCAAAUCCUAGACUAGCCCCUAUAAUUUUUUUUAUCUUCCUCACAGAAUGUUAGGCUUUGAACUUUACCCUAUAUUUUAUCUGGUUCUCAUAACAUCAGCUUGGGGCUUAAGUGGCUCUUGUAUUACAAUCAAUUAUUUCCAUACAACUCAUAGAAUUUUUAGCUUAACCCGUUCUAUUUCAAUGUCCAUUCCAAUCAUUCAUUAUCAAUCAUACUUUAGUAUCGGUUUCAUAAUUUUAUAUGCAGUUGAUUAGUUUUGAGCACAAUCCUUAUUGUUAUCUAUAGAAUAAUGGAUUGAAACAUAAUUGAAGGUAACCAAAAACAUAAAUAAAUACAUGCUCAUUUGUAUAUAAAGCUUGCUUUUAACUUAACAUUUGGUAAAAAGUGGGAAGAAGAAAAACAAAAGUUGAGUACUCCGAUUUUUUCUGUUCCUAUAACAAAAAUUAGUGCUCGUCUCCUUCAUUUUUGGAGUUCUUAAGAGUGGUCCCCUUCAUUUUUGGAGUUUUUAACUGUGGUCCCCUCCAUUUUUGGAGUUUUUAACGGUGGUCCCUUCCAUUUUUGGUAUCUUUAACAAAAUAAUCAUGGUGGCCCCCCAUUCCAUAUCCAUUUUCUUUACCAAAACAAAAGAUUUUCUCUCUGCCAAGCUCACAAUGAAAAUAAAAUAAAAAACCAAACACAUCUCUACCAAGCUCAAGAUGAAAAUAAAAUAAAAAACCAAACACAUCUACAAUAAUAAACUAAAAUAUGUGAAAACCAAAUAGAUUUACAAAAAAAAAAAUUAAAAUUUAUGUAAACUAAAAAACUCAUAAAUCUUACUUGACCAAUGAUAGAACAAGAUGAAAAUUUGGAAAAUAUUGAAUUUGAGCCAAAGAUGAACCAAAGACAGCCAGAUGCAGUAGGAGACAAUGGGAAGAAUGAAUAAAAAGGCAAAACCUUAAAGGUAAGAAACCUAACCAAAAAGGGAAAUGAAUUGAAAAUUCUUCAUAACUGUAGUUGGUAACUAUGGUUUUGACCGAUUUUUAAAAAAUUUAAAACCAUAAUUGGUGACUAUGGUUUCAUGACCUCGAUUCCUACGUGGUAUAGACGUACUAGAUUGAGUAUUAUUUUGGAAAUCAGUUUACUUUUUUAUUUAUUUUUUAAAUGUCCUAUUUUGGGUCAAAACUCAUGUGUUGUUGGGGACUUUGGCUGGGCUCAUUUUUGUAUCAAUUUGCUUUGAAAAGGUUCUUCAUGUAGACCUUUAGAAGAACACAUGGGAUAAGUUGUUUGAUGGAUUUUGGCACCUGCUUCGAAUUGUGUGGCUUUUUUAACUUCUACUGCUAGUUUAUUUUUUUAAAUGGUAGUUUGAAAAAAAAAAAUCUUAAAGUAUGGUAGUUACAAAACUAUUGAUAAAUUUAUUACACUUUUUGUCACAAAAGUGACACAUUCCAUAGUUUUCAUAUCAACGAUACAUGUUAAAAAAAAAUUGAAUUUACACUAAAUGUUUCUUAAAAAAAACACAUAUUGCAAUUCUAUUAAAUCAAAUUUAUACUAAAAGAUAUUUUUUUUAAUAGACACUUUUUCAUAAUUUUUUUAUUAAUCACGCAAGCUAAAACAUCGAAUUUAGGUGUCUCUUGAAGAGACGCUUUCAUAUUAACCACAUAGUGAAAAAAAUUUAAAAAAAAUACACUUAAUAUAUCUCCAUAAUUCCACAAAAUUGAAUUUAUACUAAAUGUGUCUUUUAAAAAUAUGCCUUUCACAAUUUUUAUAUUAACCACCCAUCGAAAAAAUUAAAUUUAUAUUAAAGGUAUAUUUUGAAAAGACAUUUUUAAUAUAAAUUUAAUUAAUUUAUAUUAAAGUAUCUUUUAAAAAGACACUUUAAAAAUAUAAUUUUGUAGAAUUAUGAAAAAUGCAUUUUGAAGUGAGUAUAAAUUCAAUUUUUUUUCUCACUGUGUAAUUAAUAUGAAAACCAUUUCAUUACAAUCCAUCUAUAUGUUUUGCUAGUAGUGUAAGUUUCAUGGGAUUGCAUUUUCCUUCUACAGAAAAUGCAUGGUCUGAACUGGCCAUUGAAUUGUGCCCACGGUAUAUCCCAUUGUUAAAUAAUGGAUGAUCUGCAAAUAAUCUGAACUGAUUCUAAGCCAUCUUUUUCAGAACAUGAGCUGAUUAACCCCUAGUUUUCUAAUGAUUUGUUUUCUUCACUUGUCCUCAUGAUGCUCUACCAUUACUGGAUCCAUGAAGCUAAAGUCACAUUUCAAAUGAUACAAAACAUGUUACCGAAUAUCUUUUCACUUGUCUCAAUACUAUUUUACUUGUAGUGCAAGUAUCUAAAGAUCCCAUUGAAAAGAAAAACGUGGGUUUGCUUAAUCAUCAUAAAAAAGGUGGGAUCAAGAAAUGACAUUUCUAUACUCUCGGAUAUCCUCUCUGCAGCUUCUAUGAUUAAGGAACAAACCCAAGAUGAGCUCAGGUGUCCCAGAUCAUCACAACCGCGAUUACCCCGACACCCAACAACACUGCUAAGAACUUGUAGUUGGGGGUGUCAAAGGGAACUGUCCUCUGGCAAUUGUAUCCCUUGGACAGUAGAUGGUUUAUUGAGACAUAGAUGAAGAUCCCACAUGCUAGCCCCAUUGAUAUAGCGUAUAUCCAGUCAGCCACAGCGCCCUGGGUAGUGGCAUCUAUGACGAUACCAAUGGCCACUCCAACUGGGCUAGAAAUGGCAAAUGCAAAGGCAUAGGCUACACAGGAGAGGAGGGGUCUGUCUGGAAUCAUCCGAAGGAGAGCUAUUCCCAUUGCAAUGGCUGCAAAUAUCUUGUGGAGACAGACCGUCCAUAGAGCUCUCCAAGCGUCAGCUUCGGUCUCUGCAACUCCAAUUGCAAUGCCCUCAAAUACAGAGUGGAAACACAGUGCAAAGAUGAGUAAUAUGUUGUCCCCAAGCGAUGUGGCAGUUCUCAGAGGGGCGUUUACAAAGUGGAGCUCUGUGCAAUUCUGAUCCUGUUAAGGGAUAGUAAGUAUUCAUUUAGCUGUCUCAGGCAUUUUAAAACGUUUUUCCUUGAAUUUUGUAAGCGAUAGAGAAUCAAGGUUUCCCUAUCAUCUUACCUGACCCAGAGACUCUGAAUUUCCGCCAUUACUACUACUUUUUCCUUGCAUAUUUGCUGUAACAAAGGAAUGAAAAUAAUAUAAGAAUGAAAGUAGAUGAUAAUACCAUUAUGAAAGAGAGUUCAAAUCCAGUGGGAGUAGGAUUUUGUCUCAUUCUUAUUCUGAUUCUAAAAAACCAUCCAAAUACAUUAAAAUGAAAAUUGAAUGGAUUUCUCAAUCGCUAUCAUAUGGCCAAGUGCACUUAUGAGAUUACCAUCUUAUAAAACCUCAACAGUCAACAUCAUAUGUUUCGUAAGGUUAUGGUUGGUUCUCGGAAAGUACAAAGAAAAGAAAAAAAUUAUUAAGGAAAAUGAUUUUCUCAUAUUUGGUUACCUUAUAAAAUAUUCCAAAAAAAAUUAAAUAUAAUUAAAAUUAGUAAGAAAUUUAUGCAUUUUAAAAUUAUUUAAUCUUCAUUAUGAUGAGUUAAAAUAAAUAAAAUGAAUUUAAAGUAAAAAAUAAAAAUAAUUUAUCAUCUUUAACUCUAUUUUUUUAUUUUCCUUCACUUUUUAUUUUCCUUUAUUUUUCCUCUCUAUUUUAUUUUCUUUGCAUUUUCCCUCCGAUUUUCCUAGAACCAAACAUAGCCUAAAUUCAUUUGGAAUUUCCCUAUUUUAAGCUUUCUCGUCUACUAGUCUAUUUUCUCAGCAGUCAAACAGAGUAAUAAUCAAGGCUAUCAAGCACCAGAAAUUUAAAAAUAAAAAUCACCAAAUCAGUAGUGUCUACACUAAAUUGAGUUUCUCAUAUCUUAGUUUCCUCCUUUUCUAAGGAAAGAUAAAAUAAAAUAAAUAAAUAAAUAAAAAAUCAAAGGCUCAAAGAACCAACCUUGAAGCUCGACAUCUCCGCCGCCACCACUCGGCCCCUUUCCAUACACAUAGGAAACCAAACAAUCGGCGAACAUCGUCGUCAAAUACCCCGCACACGCCAGCAUGAACGCGAACGGAUACUCCACGCUCGUCAAAUCCCCAAACGUCUCAUUCGAGUCGCUCAGAAAAUGCAUCAUCGCCGUCCCCAUAAACACUCCGCCGGCGAACUGCGUUCCCAGCACUAGAAACGUCUCGUUCCACUUCAAGAAGUAGGGCGACACGCCGCCGAUGAAAGUCCCGACAAACACGAGAAUCAGACAGUAGAUCUUCACCAGAAUCAGUGGCUUCGUCCUCAAGUCAACGCUGUCCGACGACGGCUCGUCACCAUCAUCAUCAUGAUCGCCGCCAUGGGCUGCGGCGACGGCGGCGAAGGCGAGGAGGAGAAGAGAGAGGGAGAGGAGAGAGCGAGGCAUUGGAAACGGAGGGAUGAAGAAGGAAGCAUUUGAAUCAGGCUGUAGGGUUUCUAUAUUCUUUUAUAUAUGAGAGGGUUGGUUGGAAUUGUACGAUACAGAGACGAAUGGUGAAAGAGGGCAAGUACUCAGUACUGCACAAAGAAGACACGAACGUGGAAAGUAUAUAAUGAUUAAUGACUAACCAUUUAUAGCUUCACAGCCAAGCUUCUCCUCCCCUGCCUUUUGGGCAGCGGCUGGUAUUUCCGCGUGAUAAAGGAGAUGCACACGUUCUUGGGAUCUUUUUCUAAAAAGGAGUUAAUUUUAUUUUAUUUUAAUUUUCUUGAUACUUCGUUGUUUCUGCUAUCAAAGAAUGAUUGAAAAGAUUUAAUAUUGGAUAUUUUAUUUUUAUUUAAAAUGGUUUUAUGGUUCUUUUUGGAUAUUUUAAUUUAAACAUGUACGGCUGUCAAUUAUUUUAUGUAAUAUGUCUUUUUCCUGAUAUAUUGCAUUUAAAAAGGAAUGUAAAUUAUAUAUACAUUUUUUUCUGUAUAUCAAAUUUCUAAUGAAAAUUCUUGAUGAUUGAAAAUAUAUUAUAAAAUUUAAAUUAUUGCAUCAAAAAAAUAAAUAAUAAAAUUAAGAUAUAAAAAAAAUAACCUGGUUGCAAGCAAUGACUUUGACUAGCUCUGAAGAAUAUAACACAAGAAUUUUGCCAUUUAUGAAUGAAACCACCAUACCAUACUUAACUUAUCUAACAGUAGAUUGCUUAUUUAUGCCAAAAUCAAACAUCCCUGCUCCAUAUGAGAGAAAUGUUCAUCGUAACUGCAUACCAGUAUGCUUCAUUUUUAGAAGUUUCUAUAUACAACAACAUGGUUGACCUUUUCCCUCUUUAUUUUUAUUCUUACAAAUUUUCCUUCACUGCUCAUCUGAAAGCUUAAACUAUUAGCCUUUUUUCCUAUAACGUGUGACCAUAUAUAAUUAUAUUUAUAUGAAUAUUAUUUAAGGGUAUCAAUUGAUAGGUAGGUGAAUCAAUUGAUUAGGCAUCCAAGAGUCUUAUGUAUGGAAGACUCAAAUUACAAAUGAGGAGUUAGAAAAUUUAACUCAUAUGAAUGUGGUGUUACAAUUUUUGUAACCCCAUCUUUAUGAAAUUUAUUUGUACAUUAUGUUUAUGAGUAAUGGAGGAAAAUAGAAAGAUAUAACCUAUACAAUUAUAUGGAUGCAUUCAAGUUCAUAACCCACUAUUACCCAUUAAUUUGUACAUAAUGGGUGUAAAUAAUGAGUAUAACUUCCAUAUAGUCUUUGAUGGGAAGACUAAGAGAUGUACAACUUAUUAUAAAUUGAGGUCUCAAGCCACACUCUCAUUCUUAUGUCUUUUUCUUUCUUGUUGUUUAUUUUUUAACAACAUACACCACACAAGUGACCCAUCCACUAUAUGAGAGUAGUGAGUUGAAGACCUUGACAAUACAAUUCACAAGGUGACUCAAUCUCACUUCAUGGAUCAAGGUAAAAAUAUGAUCAUUAUUUUAGUACUUCCAUUUAUUUGUUUUAUGUAUCCAAAAUUGUUUUCAAAAAUAAUUAUUUCCGCAUAAAGUUUAUGAAAGUUUGGUUAACAUAAACAACAAACCCCACUCAAACAUUCAAACUGUAAUCCAUUAUAGGGACCUCAAAUAUGAGUGGGUUUGAUUUUUAUUUUCUAAAAACCUUAAGAAAUACCAAAAAUAAAAAAUUCAGAUGGUUUUCAAUUGCACUGUGGUGCGCCGAUUGUAAAGAUACUAAUGGUCAUGCCAUCACUGAACCUCUGAGACGGCCAAAUCACUCCAAAAUGUUUAAAAAAAAUUCUCUCUAAUCCCAACCAAGAACUGAAAACAACCAAGAAGUGCUUCAUCCCAACUGUUGAAUUGUCCAACACAACGAAUUCAACAUCGAAUGAACACAAGCACAAGAAGCACAAAGAGCAAUGAGAUGAUACCUUCUAUGCAAAUCUAUUGUAUGAAAGUGUUUUCUCGUGUAACAAUGUGCACAAAUUUGAAGAUGAGGUUUUGUGGAUAUGGAUGACUGAGAUUACACACUUGAUGAUGGAUGAUUUGAUAUUGUGUGAUUUAUUGAUCUACCACACAUCUGAUGUUAUACUAGGGCCUAUUUGCUCUUUGGUUGAGGUUUAUAGAUCUUCACGGAUUUGCAUAAUCAUCUCCACUUACGAGAUGCAUGUCGAGUUGAUGGUAUAUUGUUAUCUUAUCAUGAUUCCCCAAUGGAGUCGCCAUUUUGUGUACAUCGCAUUUUAUGCAUGCGCUCCCAUUCGAUGGUGAACUCGUUUUUUUAUUUGAAAAAGACUUAUUUUUUUAGAAAAAAGACUUGGAGUCGUCACUUAUUUUUGUUUUAUUUUUAAAGUGAAAACAAAAUAAGAAAGAAAACUCUAAGUGUGACUCUUUAUUUGGAAAAGACUGUCUGUGAAAAACCAAAUCAGGGUUCGGGGGUCAGAUUACUUAUUGGGAAGGUACGGUAAAGACCGUAGCACCCCUCUAAGCCCCUAAAAAAUGGGUCUUUACUAAAUAAGUAAAACAAACAUGACAAUUAACUAGGAAAUCAAUGGAUACCAAAAUGGGGUUACUUAGUGGCAAGUAAUAAUGUGUUAUCAUGAAAUGGGGUUAGUGCACAAUAAUGAGUACAAAAUAUAUCACAUGUGUCACUAAACAGAGUAAGAAAUCAUUAAUUGCAAACAUUGCACUUCACGUGAAUUUAGUUUUUAAAGAAAACACUAUUGAUGUUGGGCUCCCACCAAAGCCCGAUAUAUUUUUGCAUGAUUUAAUUCUAUAAAUUCCAGUAUUUGGAAUUUUUGAAUUUAAUUCAUGUUUGUUUUAAAACAUUUAGAAAUCAAGGAAAAUAUGAAAAGAUGCUUGCCGGAAAGAAAAUGAUAGCAAUUUUUUUUUUAAAAUGGGAUUUUUGGUGAUCAUAAACUCUAAAGAAGAAUGAAAGGUUGUGAGUUAAAUUAUUUGAAAACCAGAUUUUUGAAAAUCAAUAUUUGAAGGCAUGUAUAAAAAUGAAUAAAUAAAGGAAGCAAGUGGGCUUUGAAAAUGAACAUAGGAGAAUGACCAUGCAAACCAUGCAAUAGUGGAGUCCUAGGCUUGGGGCGUCACGAACACUGGUUACAUGUUGUUUCUGAAACCCAAUUAAGCAGGAACGAUGGAGACUGCAAGAUGCUGAGUGUACCAAAGAUGGAGAUGGGCAAGAAUUGGUCAUAUGCACACUAAAGUGGCCAUGCGAAUGAGUAGCCUUGUGAACCUAAGCAUCAAUUCUUCCUUGUAAAAGAACCAUGAUUGAAAUUGCAAUAUUUCUAUUUUCAAACACUGGACUGUCACUACUAAUCACCACUACUCCGACCAUGUUUGUUGUUGAAUACGAUGAGGGACUUAGGAAAGAACCUAAGCAUCAAUAGACUCUUUCUCGGCCUCUAUAAGAAACUACAUAAAAUGCAUCUCUAUACCAAAAAAUGGUGGAAUAAAAUCUAUAAUAUUUUCCUUGAAGAAUUUUAGCUUCUUCAUUAUGUAUAUAAUCUAAUUAGAUUGAUCACAUUUUUUUUUUUUAUAAAUAUCAAUCAGAUAUCAUAUUGAAUCCAUUCUUAAUCAUGAAUAUUAUAUUCAUUUAAAUAAUAUUCAAAAGUAUGCUUAGUUUAUAAGUCAAAAGGACUUUUUUUUUUUGUGGAAUUGUGAUAUCUUUAUGGUAAAAUGGCAAGGCGCACAGAAGGGCCAUUUGGGUAAGAUCAAGUUGUUUGGACUGGAGUGCAUGUGGAUCGUACUAAUGUGGUCAAAAUCAAAUCAAAUCCAUGUCCAAAACAUGAUUGAGUGGAAAAGCAAGCAAACUCCAAUGAACCAACGUUUCAUUUGUGAUGGUUAAGAGAUGUGUUAAGAAACAUGAUAUGCAUGUUGAACUCAAAUCCUCUAAAUAUGAGCUUUUAGAAAAAUUGGUAGUUCAACAUGAUAUCAGCAUUUGGUUUGGUGAGAAGGUUUCGUGUUCGAGUUUUGGAUAUGAAUCCAAAUUCUAUUUAUCUCUCCACCAUUUUGGAUAUGAAUCCAAAUUCUAUCUAUCUCUAUUGUGUCUAUCCACCCACUAUUUUGGAUAUAAUAUGAAUCCAAAUUUUGUCUAUCUCUUAACAUGCUUCUAUUUUUCUCUCUACGUGCGAGUAUAAGGUUGCAACAUAGGGGAGCUUAAGCUUGGGUUCAACAAGAUGCUUGGUACACACACCAAUUGUAUCAAGCUAAGUCAAUACAAUCGACAAUCAAUAUAUUAUUGGAUUCUACAAUGGACGACCCUGAUCAAUACAAACCUAGUGAAUCUUAAAUCUUCCCACAUAAGGUGGCUUUUCAUCUAAGUCAUCUAACUGAUUUGAAAGAAGAAUUAAUCUAGAUCAAUUCAUUAAUCAAAAGAUGAUUUGAUACUGAUUUAGGAUUAUUAGAGAUCAUUAAAUUAAGGGUUUAUUACAUUUUACCCUCCUAACCAAUAAUGUGUUUUGCAUAUUACCCCCUCAAGUUUAAAAUCGAGUAAUGUACCUUCCAUGCAUCAUAAUUACAUGCAAUGUGUAUUUUUAGAGUGACGAUGUUACCUUAAUUAGACGAAAGGUUCAUGUACUCUCCACAUGACCUAUUUAAAUGAGGGCAAAAGAGUCAUUUCAUUUUAAAACGCCAAAACCCUGACCCACUCUCCUUUUUCCUUCAUUCAUUCCUUCCCUCAAUCUUCGUUGUUUAUCUCGCCUCUGUUGCCAUUGGCGCCGUUGUGGACCCUUCACCGACCACCCAUUGCACCACCACCUUCCCGUCGUGACUUCACUCUCCUCAAAUCCUACAUUGUCAUUCUCGUAAACAAACGCUAGCCCCAACGCCUCCCUAAAAAGCAUCAUUUUGAUGAUUAACCGCCAGCAAAACCUCGGUCUUGACCUCGCCCUCCGAAUAGUCAACCAUGUCGACAAAUUCCACCCCAAUUUUUCCCACUAUUAGGAAACCUACCUCGUCAUAAUAAAGUUACUAAUUGCUUCAAACUUGCCAAAUCUUGUAUUUUCCAAUUUCUUUAAAUUCUUUUUUUUUUCAUCACGGAAAUUUAAAUGAGAGAAAGGAUUAUAAAUGCUUAAGAAAAGUUUUUAUUUUCAAAUUUUUGUUUCUCAAGCAUUUUCGCUGGAUUUGGCAAGGUUGUCAUUUGAAUUUUGAAUUGAUUUUCCUUUUAGAUUUUUAUAUUAUAUUGUAUUUCAAUCAUUUUUUGUUUGACGAUUUGAAUUUGAUUGUCUUGGAUUGUGAUGGUUUUUCAAUUCGGUGCUUUAACUAUUAGGUAAAACAACUUGUUUGGUUAUGUUUUUUUUUUUUUUUUGUGAAUCUGUCUAUUUUUUAAGAUACUGCAAAUUGUUUGGUAAAACUUGUUUGGUUGUUGAGAAAAUGUGGUUUCUAGAAAAUGAAGGAAGGAAGAAGAAGGAGAGUUGGGUUAGGGUUUUGGGGUUUUAAACUAUAAUGACUCUUUUGCCCUCAUUUAUUAAAAAAAAUACCAUUUUACCCUCGUCCACGCAAAGAGCACAUGUCAUUCUAUAAACAAAUGUAAUGUCGUGACUCAUAAAAUGUACAUUGCAUGCAAUUAUAAAGCUUGGAGGGUACAUUCCUCGAUUUUGAACUCAAGGGGACAAUGUACAAAACACGGUAGAGGUCGGAGGUAAAGUGUAAUAAACCCUUAAAUUAAUUACAAAAGUGUGUGCCUUUUGAUUAGAUUUGUUAAGCAACUGAUGCCCUCGAUUAAUCAAUGCGCGCAGAUGUUCCCAAAUCAGCCAUGUGCAAGACUGACAGUGGGAUGCUUACCUUAGUUUUACUUCUUUCGCAUUAGCAAAACGACUUUUAGACGUCAAAGCCCCUAUAUUUAUAUUAUUUCCCUCUGUCCUGCACAAAUAUUUAUUUUUUAACCUUACCAUUUUGAAGGUUUUUUCACCGUAUUGUGCUCCCCUUUUCAUAUUUUUUUUGCAGGACAUUUUCUAGGGAUAGCAGCAUUAUGGUUUGUCCAAGUUGGCGUUGAAAUCUACCGAUUCUUCUCUUGUAUGAUUAACUUUGAAGAAAAGAUUGAUAGGGUCGAUAAGGCUGAAAGAGUCAAGCUUCUAGGAAAGAAAGUUACGGGUUCUACCGUCAAAUGUGGUGCAUCACUAGUUUUUGCUUCCAUAGCAGUCGGGAUUGGUGCCACCCUUUUCUAUCCUUCAGCUCGUCAGUGGAUUGGUGGGUACAUCUCCUCAUCUACAAGUACCCUAUAAAGCUUUUUGCAUAAUGUCAGUAACAUACAAAAUAUCUGCAAGUAGCUUGCUAAUUUUUAUAGAAUGUAGAAAGGAAAAGAUCUUUGAUCUGUAAAAUUUCCAAUACUUAAAUGUACUUCUCCUGCAGGCUGUGCUGCUGGGGACUUUGGCUGGGCCCAUUAUUGUAUCAAUUUGCUUUGAAAAGGUUCUUCAUGUAGACCUUUAGAAGAGCACACGGGAUAAGUUGUCUGAUGGAUUUUGGCACCUGCUUCAAAUUGUGGGUUUUAAACGAUAGUUGGAAAAAAAACAAUUUAAAAGUGGUAGUUACAAAAUCUAUUAAACUUUUUGUCAGUAUCUCUUUCAUAUUUUUCAUAUUAAUAAUACAUGUUAAAAAAAUUGAGUUUACACUAAAUAUGUCUCCUCAAGAAACACCUACCGUAAUUCCAUAAAAUCGAAAUUAUACUAAAAGGUAUUUUUUUAAGAUAUACUUUUUCAUAAUUUUUUUAUUAAUCAUGCAUGCUAAAACAUUGAAUUUAUAGGUGUCCCUUGAAUAAACACUUUCGUGUUAACCACAUAGAGAAAAAAAAAAUUACACUUAACAUAUAUCCACAAUUCCACAAAAUUGAAUUUAUACAAAAUAUGUUUUUUGAAUAAACACCUUUCACAACUUUUAUAUUAGCCACCCAUCGAAAGUAAUUGAAUUUAUAUCAAGGGUACAUCUUAAAAAGACAUUUUCAGUAUAAAUUUAAUUUCGUGAAAUUAUAGAAAAUGCAUCUUAAAGUAAUAUCUUUAAUGUAAAUUCAAUUUUUUCACUGUAUAACUUAUAUGAAAAUUGAUUUAAUUGUAAUUCAUCGAUAUGUUUUGAUGUUAGUAUAAAAGCCUAUUUGGUAAUGAUUAUAAGAAACGCUUUUAAUUUUUUUAACAUUAUAAAACUUUUAUCUUUUAAGUAUUAAAAAAUCUAAAAACAUUUCUUAGAAAUACUACCAAACACACUCUAAAUUUGAUAGGUUUGCGUUUUCCUUCAUAGAUGAUCUGAACUGGCCAUUGAAUUGUGCCCUCGGUAUAUCCCAUUGUUAAAUGAUGGAUGAUCUGCAAAUAAUCUGAACUGAUUCUAAGCCAUCUUUUUCAGAACAUGAGCUGAUUAACCCCUAGUUUUCUAAUGACUUGUUUUCUUCACAUGUCCUCAUGAUGCUCUACCAUUACUGGAUCCAUGAAGCUGAAGUCACAUUUCAAAUGAUACAAAAUAUGUUACAGAGCAUCAGAUACCGAAUAUCUUUUCACUCGUCUAAAUACUAUUUUACUUGUAGUAUAUGUAUCUAAAGAUCCCAUUGAAAAGAAAAACGUGGGUUUGCUUAAUCAUCAUAAAAAAGGUGGGAUCAAGAAAUGACAUUUCUAUACUCCUGGACAUCCUCUCUGCAACUUCUAUGAUUAAGGAACAAACCCAAGAUGAGCUCAGGUGUCCCAGAUCAUCACAACAGCGAUUACCCCGACACCCAACAACACUGCUAAGAACUUGUAGUUGGGGGUGUCAAAGGGAACUGUCCUCUGGCAAGUGUAUCCCUUGGACAGUAGAUGGUUUAUUGAGACAUAGAUGAAGAUCCCACAUGCUAGCCCCAUUGAUAUGGCGUAUAUCCAGUCAGCCACAGCGCCCUGGGUAGUGGCAUCUAUGACGAUACCAAUGGCCACUCCAACUGGGCUAGAAAUGGCAAAUGCAAAGGCAUAGGCUACACAGGAGAGGAGGGGUCUGUCUGGAAUCAUCCGAAGGAGAGCUAUUCCCAUUGCAAUGGCUGCAAAUAUCUUGUGGAGACAGACCGUCCAUAGAGCUCUCCAAGCGUCAGCUUCGGUCUCUGCAACUCCAAUUGCAAUGCCCUCAAAUACAGAGUGGAAACACAGUGCAAAGAUGAGUAAUAUGUUGUCCCCAAGCGAUGUGGCGGUUCUCAGAGGGGCGUUUACAGAGUGGACCUCUGUGCAAUUCUGAUCCUGUUAAGGGAUAAUAAGUAUUCAUUUAGCUGUCUCAGGCAUUUUAAAACGUUUUUCCUUGUAUUUUCUGAGUGAUAAGAGGAUCAUGGUUUCCUUAUCAUCUUACCUGAGCCAGAGACUCUGAAUUUCCGCCAUUGCUACUGCUUUUUCCUUGCAUAUUUUCUGUAACAAAGGGAAAAUGAAUGAAAGUGAAUCAUAAUACCAUUGUGAAAGAGAGGAGUUCAAAUCCAAGUGAGAGUAGGAUUUUGUCUAAAAAACCCAUCCAAAUACAUUAAAAUGAAAAUUGAAUCGACUUCUCGAUCUCUUAUCAUAUGGCCAAGUGGACUUCUGAGAUUACCAUCUUAUAAAACCUCAACAGUCAACACAUCAUGUUGCGUAAAGAUUUGAAAUUCUAUUCUUUUCUAUCCACCAUCCAUCCAGGAUCCACAAGGUCCAACCGACUUAUUUUGAACUGAAAAAAGGGUCAAUUUUCAACAACAAACAAAAGGGAAAAAUAAAUUCUUCAAAGAAGGAAAAAAAAAAUUCUGAUAAUCUCCAUGUCAGUAACUACUCAACUUAAUCAACUCUGCCUCAGGUUUUUUCCAAAGCACCAACUAAAUUCCAGAAAGAAAGAAAAUUAACAAAAGAAAGCCCAGCAAAAAUUUCAUAACUUUCUUUUCUUUUUCUUCUGGCUUCACGGCAAUCAAAGUCAUAUCUAAAGAAGCUUCGCCCAAAAGGGUGAGCUUUUCAUAGCUUUCCUCCGUUUCUUCAGCUGAGAAACAGAGUAAGGAUUUAAAUAUCGAAGUUGAAAACGCUCACUAAACUCAUUUGCAAUUUCCCUGCUUUAAGCUUUCUCUUCUUCUACUCUAUUUUCUCGGCAGUCAAACGGAGUAACAAUCAAGGCUAUCAAGCACCAGAAAAGAAAAAGAAAAAAAUAAAAUAAAUUCAAAUCACCAAAUCAGUACUGUCUACACUAAAUUGAGUUUCUUAUCUCUUACUUUCCUUAUCUUCUACGGGAAGAUAAAAUAAUAAAAUAAAAAAUAAAAAAUAAAAAAUUAAUAAAAAAAUUCAAAGGCUCAAAGAACCAACCUUGAAGCUCGACAUCUCCAUCGCCACCAUUCGCCCCCUUUCCAUACACAUAGGAAACCAAACAAUCGGCGAACAUCGUCAUCAAAUACCCCGCACACGCCAGCAUGAACGCGAACGGAUACUCCACGCUCGUCAAAUCCCCAAACGUCUCAUUCGAGUCGCUCAGAAAAUGCAUCAUCGCCGUCCCUAGAAACACUCCGCCGGCGAACUGCGUUCCCAGCACUAGAAACGUCUCGUUCCACUUCAAGAAGUAAGGCGACACGCCGCCGAUGAACGUCCCGACAAACACCAGAAUCAGACAGUAGAUCUUCACCAGAAUCAGUGGUUUCGCCCUCAAGUCAACGCUGUCCGACGACGGCGCGUCACCAUCAUCAUCAUCGGCAUGAUCGCCGCCAUGGGCUGCGGCGACGGCUGCGAGGACGAGGAGGAGAAGAGAGAGGGAGAGGAGAGAGCGAGACAUAGAAAACGGUGGGAUGAAGAAGGAAACAUUUGAGUAAUUAUGUAGGGUUUCAAUAUUCCUAUAUAUCUAUAUUAGAGGGUUGAUUGUUCACCACAGACACAAAUGUGAAUGAGCGAGUACUGCACCAAGAAGUCAUGAAUGUGAGAGACAUACAGCUACGAACUACGAUAAUGAUAAUGACUGAUCAUUUACAGCGCUUGUUUCGCAACCAAGCUUCCUUACUGCUUUGUGGGACUCUUCUUGGGGUCUUUCAAUGAAAAGGAUUUAAUGUUUUUUGUUUUUUUUUUUUAAUAAAAAUGUUUAAAAAUUUAAAAUAUUUUUAAUCUAUUCUUAAUAUUUUAAAAUAUGUUGUAAAAAUAAUUUUUAUAUUUAUUUUUAAUUAUUUUGUAUAAUUAUUUCUUAAAAUAACUUUUAAAAAACAAUAUAAGACAAUUAAAUGAUAUUAUUUGAAAAUAUCCUUUUUUUUUUUUUGUUCUUAAUAAUAAAAAAAUAUGUUAUCAAACAUGUAAUUUUGCAUUUUUUUAGAAUAAAAAAUUAUUCUAAAAACAGUUACCAAACAAAUCCUAAGAUUUGAAAAAGAAUAAUUUAUUUUUAUUUAAAAUAGUUUUAUUGUCUUUUUAAGACAAUUUAAAUAAGUAAAAUUGUUAAAUAUUUUAACAUACCAUUCUAAAUUAUUUUUCUUAAAAUUGAAAGUAUUGUAACUAUUUUUCUUAGACUUGGAAGUAAAUUAUUUCAAAAUUUAUGAUAAAACGUAUUAUUGGGUGAUUUAAAUAGUUUUAUUGUCCUUUUUUCUGCAUUUUAAAUAUAAGUAUGGUUGUCCAUUAUUUUAUGUAUUAGGUGGUAUGUUGAAUUUAAAGAUGAUUCUAAAUUUUUCUUAGACUUGAAUGUAUUGUAGAGUAUUUUUUUCUUCGGUCAUCAAAGUGAAUAUGUCGAAAUUAUAUAAUAAAAUUUGAAUCAUUGGAUUAUUUAAAUAGUUGUAUCGUCUUUUUUGAAUAUUUUAAAUAUGUACGAUUGUGUUUUUCUUCGUACAUUGAAUUUUAAAAUGACCGUAAACUAUUUUUCUCACCUUGAAAAGGAAUAUGUUCAAAAUAUAUGAUAAAAUCUAAAUCACUAAAUGAAAAUACAAAUUAUAAAAUCAAGAUAAAACAACAUUAGUGCCUAGAGAUCUCCAUCCUAGCCUUUACGUUUGAGAUCUCCACCAUCAUUGCCUAAAGACAAGAAAAAGUCAUCGGAUGAGAUAUGAUGAUGUUUACAAGAUCAUUUAUGACUUUGGAGUUAUCUACAUCGAGUGAAAUUGAUUUGGGAACAUCCCGAUCAAAGGUAUGUGAUUUUAAUUCUCUAUAUCUAUGUUUUUGUGGUAUCCUUAUUAUUUUUUAAUAUCUGUUUAUCUGCUACGAUAGAUUUAAAGAGCUUAAAAUAGAUUUACAUGAUUGAAGUCAUAGGAACAGGGUAAUCUAAGGUUCUUAACAAGAAGACCUCACCCAUCACCUUGGCCAAUUGAGUGGACAAAUUCUUUACAUGAUCCUUCAAGUCCUGGGGGUCAAGGCGGGACGACGUAAGGUGAUCAGUGGAUUGGUAAGUACCCGAUAAUGCUUUUUGCAUAAUAUCAGUAACAACAAAAUCUCCGAAAGUAGCUUGCUAAUUUUUAUGGAAUGUAAAAAGGAAAAGAUCUCUCGUAUAUAAAAUUUCCAAUACUAAAAUGUACUUUUCUCGCGGGCUGUGCUGCUGGGGACUUGGCUGGGCCCAUUAUUGUAUCAAUUUGCUUUGAAAAGGUUCUUCAUGCAUACCUUUAGAAGAGCACAUGGGAUAAGCUAUCUGAUGGAUUCUUGGCACCUGCUUCGAAUUUGUUUACUACCCGAAUUUUUAAAGGAUCUGCCGCUUACAUUUAUGCAUAAACCAUAAUUGAUCACAAAUCACUUAAAUCUGGUGUUAGGCCAAAAUCGACCCAGCUACCCAUUCACCAAAUUUUCCUUCCUGGGAGACUACCAUUCCCUUAGGUCACGAUUGUCAUGGUCUCCAAGAAUAAUCAGAACUGGUAUUAAUUGAUUUAAUUGCAAUCGAUUGAUAUGUUUUGCUGGUAGCGUAAGUUUCAUAGGACUGCAUUUCCUUAUACAGAAGAUGUAUGAUCUGAACUGGCCAUUGAGUUGUGCCAAAGGUACAUCCCAUUGUUAAAUAAUGGAUUCGGCAAAUAGUUUGAACUAAUUCUAAGCCAUCGCUUGUCCACAUGAUGCUCUACCAUCACUGGAUCCAUGAAGAUGAAGUCACAUUUCACAUAAUACAAAAUAUGUUACAGAGCAUUGCGGAGCCGGUAUCAGAAUAUUUUGCCCUCCAUUUUCUCAUCAGAUACCCAAUAUCAUUUCACUUGUCUAAAUACUAUUUUACUUAUGGUAUAUGCGUCUAGAGAUCCCAUUGAAAAGAAAAAAGUGGGUUUGUUUAAUAAUCAUAAACGAGGUGGGAUCAAGAAGUAAUAUUUCUAAGCUCCUUCCUCUGUACUCUUGGCUAUCCUCCCUGCAGCUUCUAUGAUUGAAGGAAAACAUUUCAAGAUGAGCUCAGGUGUCCCAGAUCAUCACAACCGCGAUUACCCCGAUGCCCAACAACACUGCUAAGAACUUGUAGUUGGGGGUGUCAAAGGGAACUGUUCUCUGGCAAGUGUAUCCCUUGGACAAUAGAUGGUUUAUUGAGACAUAUAUGAAGAUCCCACAUGCUAGCCCCAUUGAUAUGGCGAAUAUCCAGUCAGCCACAGCGCCCUGGGUAGUGGCAUCUAUGACAAUACCGAUGGCCACUCCAACUGGACUAGAAAUGGCAAAUGCAAAGGCAUAGGCUACACAGGAGAGGAGGGGUCUGUCUGGAAUCAUCCGGAGGAGAGCUAUUCCCAUUGCAAUGGCUGCAAAUAUCUUGUGGAGACAGAUCGUCCAUAGAGCUCUCCAAGCGUCGGCUUGGGUCUCUGCAACUCCA